AUUGAACGCUGGCGGCAGGCCUAACACAUGCAAGUCGAGCGGAUGAAGGGAGCUUGCUCCUGGAUUCAGCGGCGGACGGGUGAGUAAUGCCUAGGAAUCUGCCUGGUUGUGUUGGAUAACGUCCGGAAACGGGCGCUAAUACCGCAUACGUCCUGAGGGAGAAAGGGGGGGAGCUUGGGACCUUACGCUAUCAGAUGAGCCUAGGUCGGAUUAGCUAGUUGGUGGGGUAAAGGCCUACCAAGGCGACGAUCCGUAACUGGUCUGAGAGGAUGAUCAGUCACACUGGAACUGAGACACGGUCCAGACUCCUACGGGAGGCAGCAGUGGGGAAUAUUGGACAAUGGGCGAAAGCCUGAUCCAGCCAUGCCGCGUGUGUGAAGAAGGUCUUCGGAUUGUAAAGCCCUUUAAGUUGGGAGGAAGGGCAGUAAGUUAAUACCUUGCUGUUUUGACGUUACCAACAGAAUAAGCACCGGCUAACUUCGUG
rnacentral:rRNA from 1 species